rnacentral:rRNA from 1 species
CAUACCUAUUCGAAGGGAUAGGGUCGGUUUGGCCGGAUUUCACACAGGUGUUGCAUGGCUGUCGUCAGCUCGUGUCGUGAGAUGUUGGGUUAAGUCCCGCAACGAGCGCAACCCUCAUCCUUAGUUACCAUCAGGUUAUGCUGGGGACUUUAAGGAAACUGCCAGUGAUAAACUGGAGGAAGGUGGGGAUGAUGUCAAGUCAUCAUGGCCCUUAUGGAGUGGGCUACACACGUGCUACAAUGGUGAUUACAAUGGGCUGCAAGGUCGCAAGGCUGAGCUAAUCCUAAAAAAUCAUCUCAGUUCGGAUUGUUCUCUGCAACUCGAGAGCAUGAAGUUGGAAUCGCUAGUAAUCGUGGAUCAGCAUGCCACGGUGAAUACAUUCUCGGGUCUUGUACACACUGCCCGUCACGCCAUGGGAAUUGGUUUCACUCGAAGCU